rnacentral:rRNA from 1 species
UUAAAUUGAAGAGUUUGAUCAUGGCUCAGAUUGAACGCUGGCGGCAGGCCUAACACAUGCAAGUCGAACGGUAACAGGAAACAGCUUGCUGUUUCGCUGACGAGUGGCGGACGGGUGAGUAAUGUCUGGGAAACUGCCUGAUGGAGGGGGAUAACUACUGGAAACGGUAGCUAAUA